rnacentral:rRNA from 1 species
CCCGCUGAACUUAAGCAUAUCAAUAAGCGGAGGAAAAGAAACCAACAGGGAUUGCCUCAGUAACGGCGAGUGAAGCGGCAACAGCUCAAAUUUGAAAUCUGGCCCUUCUGGGGUCCGAGUUGUAAUUUGUAGAAGAUGCUUCGGGUGUGGCUCCGGUCUAAGUUCCUUGGAACAGGACGUCAUAGAGGGUGAGAAUCCCGUAUGUGACUGGCAGCCUUCGCCCAUGUGAAGCUCUUUCGACGAGUCGAGUUGUUUGGGAAUGCAGCUCAAAAUGGGUGGUAAAUUCCAUCUAAAGCUAAAUACAGGCGAGAGACCGAUAGCGAACAAGUACCGUGAGGGAAAGAUGAAAAGAACUUUGGAAAGAGAGUUAAACAGUAUGUGAAAUUGCUGAAAGGGAAACGCUUGAUGUCAGUCACGUUGGCUAGGGAUCAACCUUGCUUCUCGCUGGGUGUAUUUCCUAGUGGACGGGUCAGCAUCAGUUUCGGUCGCUGUACAAGGGCAAAGGGAACGUGGCACUCCUUGGAGUGUGUUAUAGCCUUUCGUCGUAUGCAGUGGUUGGGACUGAGGAACUCGGCACGAAAUCUAUUUUGUGCUUAGGAUGCUGGCAUAAUGGCCUUAAGCGACCCGUCUUGAAACACGG